UACGUAGGGUGCAAGCGUUUGUCCGGAAUUAUUGGGCGUAAAGAGCUCGUAGGUGGUUUGUCGCGUUGUUCGUGAAAACUCACAGCUCAACUGUGGGCGUGCGGGCGAUACGGGCAGACUUGAGUACUGCAGGGGAGACUGGAAUUCCUGGUGUAGCGGUGGAAUGCGCAGAUAUCAGGAGGAACACCGGUGGCGAAGGCGGGUCUCUGGGCAGUGAACUGACGCUGGAGGAGCGAAAGCGUGGGGGAGC
rnacentral:rRNA from 1 species